GGCGAACGCUGGCGGCGUGCUUAACACAUGCAAGUCGAACGGAAAGGCCUGCUUUCCCUUGUGGAUUGCGGGUACUCGAGUGGCGAACGGGUGAGUAACACGUGAGUGAUCUGCCCCCAACUUGGGUAUAAGCCUGGGAAACUGGGUCUAAUUCCCGAUAGGACUGCAGGGUGGUGUCUGUGGUGGAAAACGAUUUUCUAGUGGUUGGGGAUGAGCUCGCGGCCUAUCAGCUUGUUGGUGGGGUAAUGGCCUACCAAGGCGGCGACGGGUAGCCGGCCUGGGGUGGUGGGCGGGCACAGUGGGACGGAGAUACGGCCCAGGAGCCUACGGCAAGAAGCAGUCGGGAGGAAGGCGCGAGGAGCGGAAGACAGAGGGAGCGAGGCCGCGUGAGGGAUGACGGCCUUGGGAUUGUGAACUCCUUUCGGCAGCGAGGAAGCGACCGGGUUGGAAGGGUGGUGACGGUAGUGGUAGAAGAAGCACCGGCUAACUACGUG
rnacentral:rRNA from 1 species